rnacentral:rRNA from 1 species
AUGCGACGCUAUGUUAAACGGCUGAAUGCGUUCCUUCUGCCCCGCACCAAUGUUCAACAACGGUCUAUCAAGAAGCUGAGGCUUCAAACCUUUGGAACGAGCAGUUGCAAUGAUCAAUGGAUUACGUCAGCGAUUGGCAGAUGGGGCGUUGAAGAUUUGGAGCUUGUCGUUGACAACUCUUCCUGGUGCUAUGACUUCCGGCUAUUGGAUAAAUGCGAGAAUGUGCGAUUGAAACGACUUGUGCUAUCCAAUUGUUAUCAUCAUGAUGCACCCAAGUCCUUGACGUUUCAGAGGCUCACAGCACUUACUCUGUGCAAAGAAUGUUCACAUAUUUCACACGUUUGUUGUUAUAUUCUGAGAAACUGCGUGCAGCUGGUGGAUUUGAGCCUGAAAUAUUCUGGUCAUAACCGAGAUUCUCUUCAUAUUCGUGUUCCUAAGUCAAAGUUAAAGAAUCUGCAAUUGGACAACUGCAACGUUGGGCAAGUCUAUCUGACUUCACUGCCUUGUCUUGAAGCAUUUGCUUGUCGCGGUCAGCCAAUCGAAUUACACUACGGCGAGGUGCCUCGACUUAGGCAUGUGAGUUUGAACUUCUUGCAAACUGGAGAUAAUGCCAAGGAUGGUUCCUUAUGUGGACUAAGCAAGUUGUUUUUAGGGAUUCCGCCACCGCUAGAGUACCUUGCUCUGCAAUUAAGAGGGGGUCAGAUGUGGAUUAAACCUGCUGCCAUUCGCAGCCAGCUUAAUCAUCUCAAGAAACUAUUAUUUGCAAACGUGGCAAUGAACUGGGAUACAUUCUGGAUUCUCACCCUACUUGCUGCCGCACCUGCCCUGGAGUCACUCCAUGUUCAUUUUGUCAACAACUCAGAGAAGGUGGGUGCUGCAGGAUCACUAGAUGUACAAGUGGAACACCAUCAGCAUCACCAUCACCUGAAAGAACUCAUGGUCAUCGGCUUCGGCGGGGUGGCGUGGCAGACCGGCUUUGUGAAGCGGAUCAUGCGGGCGUCACCGAUCCUGGAGCGCGUCCACCUGCUGGACGGGCACGUCGUGGAGGGCGAAGAUCGGGAGCUCGUCGGCCUGAAGAUCGUCCGCCGCCGCCGGGAGUGGCACGAGUGCGAGAGAUUGGAGGUGCUCAACGAACUGACAGACGGGAUCCGUUCGCCCCAUCUCGAAAUAGUUUUGGAAUGA